CCCUUAGAUGUUCUGGGCCGCACGCGCGCUACACUGAUGCAUUCAACGAGUUUCUUCCUGGUCCGAGAGGAAUGGGGAACCUUUUGAAAGUGCAUCGUGAUAGGGAUAGACUAUUGCAAUUAUUGGUCUUCAACGAGGAAUUCCUAGUAGACGUAGUUCAUCAGACUGCAUCGAUUACGUCCCUGCCCUUUGUACACACCGCCCGUCGCUCCUACCGAUUGAAUGCUCAGGUGAGCCAUUCGGACUUUCAUCAUGCUGGUUUCCAGUUUUGAUGAAGGAAAGUCUUGCGAACCUUAUCAUUUAGAGGAAGGAGAAGUCGUAACA
rnacentral:rRNA from 1 species